CUUUUAGAAAAAUAACUUUUAAUGAUCUCUCUGUUGUUAUUUUGUCAUUGUUGUCCUUGGUCGCCAUAUUUACCAAAGGGUAAAUAAAUAUGGCGACCAAGGACAGCAAGGAGAGAACAGUGUUUGAGAUGCAAAAAGUUCUGGUCUGGUUUUCUUUUUAGAAAUGCUUUGAAACUGGGGAAUGGCUGAACAAAUUGUGGUAUAUGUUGGUGAUGGAAUACUAUUGUGCUAUAAAAAAUGAUCAGGCAGGAUGAUUUCAGAAAAAGCUAGAAAGACCUACAUGAACUGAUGCAGAGAGAAAUAAUCAGAACCAGCAGAACAUUAUACACAGUAGCAGCAAUUUUGUGCCAUGAUCAACUGUGAAACACUUAGAUACUCUCAGCAAUACAAUGAUCUUAGCAAUACAAGAUAGUGAAAUGGGCAAAGUGUGAACUCAGAGCAUGUUUUAUCUUUCCCCCAUUUUCAGCAACUCUUUUCAGAAAGGCAGAGAUGAAAAGGAUCUAGCAACAUAAAGGGACAAUUCUGAAGGACUUAUGACAAAGAAUGCUAUCCACCUCCAGAAAAAGAACUGAUGGAGUCAGAUGCAGAUCAAAGCAUACUAUCUUUCAUGAUUUGUCAUUGCUGCUGCUGUUACUGCAGUUGCUGUUGCCAGGACCAAACACCUCUGGCACAGCCUCAUUAGUCACUACCUAAGCUGCCCUGACAAGUGGAUAAAAGGAAAGAAGACCUCUUUUAGGCAUGGAGGGAAAGUGAGACUUUGGAGCUUUUGCCUAUUCCAGAGAAAAUCAAUAGCUAUCGCGGGGAUGUUGAAGCCACAGAGGGUUCCUUCCGUUUCCAUCGCAGCUAAUUACGAAAGUGACAGGGCUUGUCAGGACCUGUUCAGAGAUCAGAAUUAA
rnacentral:lncRNA from 1 species